GGAGAGGUGUGUGAGCGGUUGAAACAGCAGGCCUCGAAAUCCUGUAUACCGAAAGGUAUCGAGGGUUCAAAUCCCUCCCUCUCCG
rnacentral:tRNA from 1 species